ACAGGGGGGGCAAGCGUUGUUCGGAAUUACUGGGCGUAAAGGGUUCGUAGGUGGCCAACUAAGUCAGAUGUGAAAUCCCUCAGCUUAACUGGGGAACUGCUUCUGAUACUGGUUGGCUUGAGUGCAGGAGAGGAAUGCGGAAUUCCAGGUGUAGCGGUGAAAUGCGUAGAUAUCUGGAGGAACACCGGUGGCGAAGGCGGCAUUCUGGACUGUAACUGACACUGAGGAACGAAAGCCAGGGGAGCAAACGGGAUUAGAUACCCCGGUAGUCCUGGCCCUAAACGAUGAAUGCUUGGUGUGGCGGGUAUCGAUCCCUGCCGUGCCGAAGUUAACGCAUUAAGCAUUCCGCCUGGGGAGUACGGUCGCAAGGCUG
rnacentral:rRNA from 1 species